rnacentral:piRNA from 1 species
GCUUGCGGCCCAAGGACUAGGCGACC